rnacentral:rRNA from 1 species
UACGAAGGGGGCGAGCGUUGUUCGGAAUUACUGGGCGUAAAGGGCGCGCAGGCGGCGAGUUUUGUCAGGCGUGAAAGCCCCGGGCUCAACCUGGGAACUGCGCUUGAAACGGGCUUGCUGGAGACCGGGAGAGGAGAGUGGAAUUCCCAGUGUAGAGGUGAAAUUCGUAGAUAUUGGGAAGAACACCGGUGGCGAAGGCGGCCAUCUGGACCGCAACUGACGCUGAGGCGCGAAAGCGUGGGGAGCAAACAGG